GCCUACGUGGUCUAACGGCUAUGACGCUAGCCUGUCGCGCUGGAAACCCGGGUUCGACUCCCGGCGUGGGCG
rnacentral:tRNA from 1 species